UAUUGUUACAGUAGCUACACUAUCAAGAGAUCCAGGACCAUUGAGUGACGCUAAUGUUGAACCAAGUUAUUUUGAUCCGCCAAUUGAAGCAACAGAUGUGAGAGAGAUGACUAAAGAAACGACAAGUGAUGAAGAUGACAAAAAGUGAUGAAAUGAAGAACUACUAUAUUAUCUAUCUUUUGUGUGCCUUUGACCUUAUACAUUCUAAGCUACUGUACAUGUAACAUGAGUAGUUAGUGUUGCUUUAUAUGCUAUAUUUGAGGCUUUUUUAGUUAGUUAUAGUUUGGUUUUUUGUGAUUUGAAAAUUUUUUAUUUUUAGUAAGAACUCUUUAAUUUAGAUCUCUUUGCCUUGCAGAUACUCUAGUCUGAAUCUUGAAGAAUUGUAAAUAAACUCAAUAUUUAGUGACAGUAGUGUUGUUGAGCCAUAUCUUAAACCAAAAUAGAUUCUAUAUAUUAUACUGUACCAUGUUUCAUUUCAGAUGAUCAAAGUAUUAGCAUGAACCAAAACAGAAGCCACAAAACAGCUCCAUUACAUUCAAUCAAGUCAAAAGGAAUUUAUAGUAUUAGACUAUAUAAACUAUUCUAAUUUAACGAAGAGACAACUUUGAGUUUGACUAUACCUUCCAAUCAUGAGCAAAGAAGGGCAGAAGGGCGAGUGGAGGAG